rnacentral:lncRNA from 1 species
UUGGUUAUAAGUAGGAGUCUUAAGUAGGAGUCCUAUUAGGAGUUGGUUAGAAGUAGGAGUCUUAAGUAAGAGUCCUAUUAGGAGUUAGGGUUUAGAAGCCCUAUAAAUAGUCAUGUAUUCCACCUCUUUUCAUAAGCAAUAGAUGAAUCUUUUCUGCAGCCUUUGAGCAGCAACUUGGAGGGAGGAACCCCUAUAGAGUUC